rnacentral:rRNA from 1 species
AUUGAACGCUGGCGGCAGGCCUAACACAUGCAAGUCGAACGGUAGCACAGAGAGCUUGCUCUCGGGUGACGAGUGGCGGACGGGUGAGUAACGUCUGGGAAACUGCCCGAUGGAGGGGGAUAACUACUGGAAACGGUAGCUAAUACCGCAUAACGUCGCAAGACCAAAGUGGGGGACCUUCGGGCCUCACACCAUCGGAUGUGCCCAGAUGGGAUUAGCUAGUAGGUGGGGUAUGGCUCACCUAGGCGACGAUCCCUAGCUGGUCUGAGAGGAUGACCAGCCACGCUGGAACUGAGACACGGUCCAGACUCCUACGGGAGGCAGCAGUGGGGAAUAUUGCACAAUGGGCGCAAGCCUGAUGCAGCCAUGCCGCGUGUAUGAAGAAGGCCUUCGGGUUGUAAAGUACUUUCAGCGGGGAGGAAGGCGGUGAAGUUAAUAGCUUCACCGAUUGACGCUACCCGCAGAAGAAGCACCGGCUAACUCCGUGCCAGCAGCCGCCGUAA